rnacentral:antisense_RNA from 1 species
CUUCAGCGAGCCGAGCAGCAGCGGCCGCUGCGGGUCACGGUCCUGGCCGUAGGUGGCGUGCAGCGCCUGCGCCUC